CACAAAUUGGAUGUACCUACAAGAUGUGAUCAGAAGACAUCACACUGCCAUCCCCUCAACAGAAUGUUAUGAAGUAAUUGCUGCUGAAGAUUUUCUUGUGUUGGAGUUAACACGGUAACAAAAUGGAUACAGCUGUUCAGGAGCCCAAGGAAGUAUUAUGAUUGAACUGAUUAUCUAACUUGCAACCAAAGCCCACUGUCUAAUCACUCUCACAUAACAUGAAAGUCUUUUUGAAAAUUCAGAUACUCAAAACAUCAGUGCUAAUAGAAAGGCUAAGAAUAUGAAUUCGAACUUUC